rnacentral:rRNA from 1 species
UAGGGAAUCUUCGGCAAUGGACGGAAGUCUGACCGAGCAACGCCGCGUGAGUGAUGAAGGUUUUCGGAUCGUAAAGCUCUGUUGUUAGAGAAGAACGCUGGUAGGUGUGGACAACCUACCAAGUGACGGAAACUAACCAGAAAGGGACGGCUAACUACGUGUCAGCAGCCGCGCUAAUACGUAGGUCCCGAGCGUUGUCCGGACUUUUUGGGCGUAAAGCGAGCGCAGGCGGUUCUUUAAGUCUGAAGUUAAAGGCAGUGGCUUAACGAAUGUACGCUUUGGAAAUUGGAGGACUUAAGUGCAGAAGGAGAGGGUGGAAAUCCCUGUGUAGCGGUGAAAUGCGUAGGAAUAUGGAAGAACACCGGUCGCGAAAGCGGCUCUCUGGACAGUAACUGACGAUGAGGCUCGAAAGCGUGGGGAGCAAACAGG